rnacentral:sRNA from 1 species
GCCAACCUAUCUAUCACUGCCAAUCUAUCUAUCGCUGCUAAUCUAUCGCUGCUAAUCUAUCGCUGCUAAUCUAUCGCUGCCAACCUAUCUAUCGCUGCCAAUUUAUCUACCACUGCCAAUCUAUCUAUCGCUGCUAAUCUAUCGCUGCCAACCUAUCUACCGCGGCGAAUCUAUCCAUCGCUGCCAAUUUAUCUACCACUGUCAAUCUAUCUAUUGCUGCUAAUCUAUCGCUGCUAAUCUAUUGCUGCUAAUCUAUCGCUGCUAAUCUAUCGCUGCUAAUCUAUCGCUGCUAAUCUAUCGCUGCUAAUCUAUCGCUGCUAAUCUAUCGCUGCUAAUCUAUUGCUGCUAAUCUAUCGCUGCUAAUCUAUCGCUGCUAAUCUAUCGCUGAUAAUCUAUCGCUGCUAAUCUAUCGCUGCUAAUCUAUUGCUGCCAACCAACCUACCACUGCCAACCUAUCUAUUGCUGCCAAUCUAUCGCUGCCAACCUAUCUAUCACUGCCAAUCUAUCUAUCGCUGCUAAUCUAUCGCUGCUAAUCUAUCGCUGCUAAUCUAUCGCUGCCAACCUAUCCAUCGCUGCCAAUUUAUCUACCACUGUCAAUCUAUCUAUUGCUGCUAAUCUAUCGCUGCUAAUCUAUCGCUGCUAAUCUAUUGCUGCUAAUCUAUCGCUGCUAAUCUAUCGCUGCUAAUCUAUCGCUGCUAAUCUAUCGCUGCUAAUCUAUCGCUGCUAAUCUAUUGCUGCCAACCAACCUACCACUGCCAACCUAUCUACUGCAGUGAAUCUAUCUAUCACUAUCAUUACUAGUUCAAAAUAGAACUAGAGCAUAAAUACACUAAACUUCUUUUGAUAGGUAAUGAUUUUUGGUAACGCUCAUAGCAUUAUAUCAUCUAUAUAGGGUAAAUCAUGGUCCCAUUUGGUCUCAUUUUAACAAAAUGGGACCAAAUGGGACCAGAAUCAGUAAUUUAUAAGAAGAACAUGACCUGGGACU